CAAGAUUUUGUAGCUUAGCAAUUACUCCUUCAAGAUCAUAUGGCAGAGGCAUAUUACAGUCAUCAACUGUCCAGACGGGAUGGCAUUCUGGUUUCUGGUCUUCUGGCAAGCUCUCUGCCGCUUCUGACUGGCAUCUGAAAAGAAAGGAAGAAGAGGAGUGAAUGUUACUUUUUCACAUUUUGCGAAUCACCUAUUUUCAUCAAAAUUACAAUCCCCGUGCCAGAUCCACUGACAUGAAACUCAACUCAAGUUGCUCAUAUUUCAACAUACGGGUUGAGGUUCCAAGCAGUCCUUGCUGCACCUGGCAGAUGAUGAGAUUCACCUGAAUGGCAACCACAAGCUUGGAUGCAGCCACCCACAUACGUGCUUUCUGACCUAGUGUCGGUGUACAAGAACAGUCCUUUCCAGAUGAGUAUAUUACUAUUGAUUUUAAUAAAUUUCUGCGGGAGAAAUAGUUCCUAUAAUGGCCUGUAAUUUGUAGCAGAGUAACAGACCUGAAGAUCCUGCAAAAGGACAGCAACAUUUUUAACUGAAGCAGAAAAGUCAAAGCCACUUAAAUAAUUGCACAGAAUUAUUUGAAACUCCUUUGUAUCUGGGAAAAGAUAGCUAUGAUAGCUAACUUAGCAAUGAUAACUGAGAAGAGAUGCAAAUUCUAUUUUUCCCAAAUACGAAAGUAUUUGAGGCUCUGUAUGGGAAACAUCGUAAACACCACAGUAUGGUGGCAAUGGAAAAGUACCAAGAUUUAUAAUAUUAUAAGUUAAUUAAAAUACUAUACAUUAAUUUAAAACUAUUAUUUGAGUUAAUAAAGUCAGAUGUCAAAGAGAGAGUAGAUCUAAUCUGUGUAUACUGCACGCACAAAAUGUGUUAAGAGAAAUAACACGUGCUCUGAGAUACAGAACAGAUGCCAAAUUGAGGCAUCUUUCACACCUUAUUUGUAGCAGAACAGAAAAAACUGCCAUGAUGUAUUUCAGAGCAAUUCAGCUCCAACGCGUUGAUAAUACAUUUUCACCAACAUAUUAAAGAAAGGAUGAUUUGUCUAAAGAUGUGCAGAAUAUAUAAAAUUCCAUAGCCCCUAUUAAGACCAAUCAAGAUCUGUGCCAGCCUCACUUUAAAAAGCCUUUUUUAAAGGAACAUUUAGUUACUGUUGCGGUGCACAUUCUCACUCCCUCUCCCCUGUAAACUUCACAGCUUUUUGAUCCCCUUUUUUGUCUAUUUUUGCCAAAGAGACUUUGCUCAUUAAUAUUUACCAACAGCUGAAUAUUAAUAUAAGUUCAGCUAAGUCAUGACAAACAUUCGUAUAACUGAAUGAUUUUGUCUGAUGAUACAGAACCCUCUCCCUUGGAAGGUGGCUAAUUUCACCAUGGGCAGGUGUACAUUCCCAGACACAAACAGUUGCCUGGCUGUGGUCCCCUGGGCUGCACUGACAUUUUGAUGAUCAGAGUGUCAGCUACAUUAGAGGACACUGAUCAUGAUGCUAAAAUUAACCAAGCCAGCUAAAGUGUGUGUUAAUUAUGAGUAUGCAAGCAGUCAAUAAAAGGUUAAUGCAAAAGUCAAAGGAUAAAUUUAUUUCAGUAUUGCAUCACUCUACUGACUAAAUGACUAACGUUACACUUUGUUUUUAAUCGAUAUAUUUUACAGUAAUGCGUGAGCCAUUGAUUUGAAAAAACAGUCUUCUUCCUAAGUUAAGUUUUGCAACUAUUAAGUAUCAAGUAUCAAUAUGCUUAAAACACUGGAUUUUCAGAUGAGAUACUUCUUUGUUCCACUGUCAGGUAAAGGAAUGCCAGGAGGUGGCCUCGAGUUCUACUGAUGACCGUGACUAAUGCAAAUAAGAAUUGUUACCUAGGAACCUAAAUAAGGACAACUUUUCAUGUUAAAGAAAUCAACUGGUGCAUGACAAAUCCUGAUUUGUUAAACGUGGAAAGUAAAAAGAAACAUGACUGAAUGCAACUAACAAUAACCGUAUUACUUGAUCCUUAAAUCAGACUGGACAGAAGUGGGAUCUAUCUUUCCAGCAUCAAAGCUGGCCUGAAGUGCUUCCUGUGUCACUCCUGCAAACUCCUAACACAACCCAUCCUCAAAACCCUACCAUUUCCAUCAGGAUCACAGCAAAGGUGACACAGGUAGCAGCACCUGGGAGCAGAAUGGAGCCACACGCCUCAGCAUCCUGGAAUGACCAAAACACACAAGGUCAUAUUGAAUGAAAGGACAUCAUCUGCUUGUUCCAAAUGUCAUUAUGGAAGAAUCGGGAAAAAGCAGCUGUAUUACAAGUCACCUCUCCAGCUGUCACAAACAAACUAUUAAUGGAGAAAGUCAGUCCUCUACAGUGCAUUACAGAACGAAGGUCACCUGGGAAACCGUAAGGCCUCGCUGGCUACUCACAAGACCAACCUGAUUAGUCCCAAUAACCUUCUGCCCUUGCCAAGGGACUGAUGGAAAGUCAAGUUUUUCAGCAGACUGCUAACUUGGUGUUCGUGCUUUUUAGAUGAAGUUAUACAAGCUGAAGCGUCUGAGACUCAUCUGAAGCACUCGGUUACAAUUACUGCACAGUGUGUACUGGAAUUACCAUGAGCAUCAUAAUCAUGGUGAUAAUUACCAAUUCUCUACACACAAAGACAGCCCAAACUUAAAAUUGAUGUCAUAGAAUCAUAGAAUGGUUUUGGCUGGAAGGGGCCUUAAAAGAUCCUCCAGUUCCAACCCCUUUGCAAUGGGCAGGGACACCUUCUGCUAGUUCAAAGUGUCAUCCAACCUGGUCUUGAACACAUCCAGGGAUGAGGCAUCCACUACGUCUCUGGGCAAAGAGAGUGUAACUUUGGCAUACUAACUUUUAAUAGUCUUGUUCCUCUUGACUGCUAUAAAUCUGGCAAUAAGAAUAUUAUCAACAGGAAAGUUUUCUUGGAAAUAACCUGUAACCACAAGCCAAACACUUUUAAGCAAUUUCUUUAGAAUAUAAAUAGAAUAAAACCAUGCUUUCAAUAUGUGCACAACUUAUGAACUCUGUGUUUUCCCUCUACAGAAUCCUCCAUCAUAUUCCCAUAAGAGUAAGCAGAUUGACCUAUUAAAAUACCAUCAGCUUACCACAAAAAAAUUACAUAUAUAAUACGAAAUGUGUGAGAACCCAGUGCAGUUUCCUACAAUACCUUUACUAUUUUUGAGCAACCAGCUACAUUUGAAAGCUGGAGAAUGUUUCACUGCAUCAACUAAGGGUUAUAUUAAACUUCUACAUUUCUGGAACCUCAUAAAAUAAGGUGAUAAGGGAAAAGGGGAAAAAAAAUUUCUAUGUUGUAACUAAAAUAUUUGGCUUCAGGUUCUUUUUAUUGCAUCUCACGUACUGGUGAAUGAAUGGGACUGGGUUCUUUCUGUAUCUCCCACACAGCCUCUGAGGAUAUUAUGGUUUUUUGCCCCGACUUUUUCUAUGAAAACUCCUUAUUUUCCUCUAUGUUGAUCAUAAUAAAACUACGGUAUUUUUACCACCAUUUUCUCAGCAGAAUUCUACAGAUAUGGGCACACUCAACGAACAAAUUGGUAUGUUUUAUUUCAUGACUUUUCUUUUUUUUUCACUUGUAAUAAAGAAGCAAAUCUUGAACAACAGUGAGAAAGCACACACCCCCUUUAUGGCCAUUCUUGGUAACUCCUGAAUCUGUCCCCAGAUUUGAGCAUGGCCUGAGGCAUCUCAUCUAACUAACAUUGCUGCAGUCUCCUGAGCUGUAAAAACUAAACCUUAGUUUCAUACCAGAAACUGAUGAGAGGAUGUUAGUUAAGUUUAAUUUCUCCACUUCAAAAUGUUCAGCUGAUUAUACCUCUAAAGAUAACUGAACUGUGACUUCAGACAAUGAAAACCAAUAUUAGAAUAGACCUGAGAAUGCCAUUUAUAGCAUUAAUGGAAUUUAUAAACAUUUUCUCUUGCAAC